GCCAAUGUGGCACAGUGGUUUGAAGGCUGGACAAUGACUCUGGAGACCAGGGUUCGAAUCCCGGUUUGGCC